UACGGAGGGUGCAAGCGUUAAUCGGAAUUACUGGGCGUAAAGGGUGCGUAGGUUGUUAAGUAAGUUAUCUGUGAAAUUCCUGGGCUCAACCUAGGGUGGUCAGAUAAGACUGCUGGACUUAGAGUAUAGGAGAGGGUAGUGGAAUUUCCGGUGUAGCGGUGAAAUGCGUAGAGAUCGGAAGGAACACCAGUGGCGAAGGCGGCUACCUGGCCUAAUACUGACACUGAGGCACGAAAGCGUGGGGAGCAAACAGGAUUAGAUACACUGGUAGUCCACGCUGUAAACGAUGUCAACUAGCUGUUGGCCUUAUGAAUGAGGUUAGUGGCGCAGCAAACGCGAUAAGUUGACCGCCUGGGGAGUACGGUCGCAAGAUUAAA
rnacentral:rRNA from 1 species